GAUGAACGCUGGCGGCGUGCCUAAUACAUGCAAGUCGAGCGAACAGACGAGGAGCUUGCUCCUCUGACGUUAGCCGCGGACGGGUGAGUAACACGUGGAUAACCUACCUAUAAGACUGGGAUAACUUCGGGAAACCGGAGCUAAUACCGGAUAAUAUAUUGAACCGCAUGGUUCAAUAGUGAAAGACGGUGUUGCUGUCACGUAUAGAUGGAUCUGCGCCGCAUUAGCUAGUUGUUAAGGUAACGGCUUACCACGGCAACGAUGCGUAGGCGACCUGAGAGGGUGAUCGGCCACCCUGGAACUGAACCACCGUCCAGACUCCUGCGAGAGGCAGCAGUAGGGAAUCUUCCGCAGUGGGCGAAAGCCUGACGGAGCAACGCCGCGUGAGUGAUGACGGUCUUCGGAUCGUAAAACUCUGUUAUUAGGGAAGAACAAAUGUGUAAGUAACUAUGCACGUCUUGACGGUACCUAAUCAGAAAGCAACGGCUAACUACGUG
rnacentral:rRNA from 1 species